GGAGAGGUGGCUGAGUGGUCGAAGGCGCUCGCCUGGAAAGCGAGUACAUGGGCAACUGUGUCGAGGGUUCAAAUCCCUCUCUCUCCGCCA
rnacentral:tRNA from 8 species